CAGUCGCCACGGUAAUACAGAGGGUGCAAGCGUCAAUCGGAUUUACUGGGCGUAAAGGGCGCGUAGGUGGUUAUUUAAGUGAGAUGUGAAAUCCCCGGGCUUAACCUGGGAACUGCAUCUUAUACUGGGUAACUGGAGUGCAGUAGAGGGUAGUGGAAUUUCCGGUGUAGCGGUGAAAUGCGUAGAUAUCGGAAGGAACACCAGUGGCGAAGGCGGCUCACUGGACCAUCACUGACACUGAGGCGCGAAAGCGUGGGGAGCAAACAGGAUUAGAUACCCCGGUAGUCCCUGUCUCUUAUAC
rnacentral:rRNA from 1 species